rnacentral:rRNA from 1 species
AUUGAACGCUGGCGGCAGGCCUAACACAUGCAAGUCGAACGGCAGCACAGAAGAGCUUGCUCUUUGGGUGGCGAGUGGCGGACGGGUGAGUAAUGUCUGGGAAACUGCCCGAUGGAGGGGGAUAACUACUGGAAACGGUAGCUAAUACCGCAUAACGUCACAAGACCAAAGUGGGGGACCUUCGGGCCUCACACCAUCGGAUGUGCCCAGAUGGGAUUAGCUAGUAGGUGGGGUAAUGGCUCACCUAGGCGACGGUCCCUAGCUGGUCUGAGAGGAUGACCAGCCACACUGGAACUGAGACACGGUCCAGACUCCUACGGGAGGCAGCAGUGGGGAAUAUUGCACAAUGGGCGCAAGCCUGAUGCAGCCAUGCCGCGUGUAUGAAGAAGGCCUUCGGGUUGUAAAGUACUUUCAGCGGGGAGGAAGGCGGUGAGGUUAAUAACCUCGCCGAUUGACGUUACCCGCAGAAGAAGCACCGGCUAACUCCGUGCCAGCCGCCGCCGUAA